rnacentral:rRNA from 1 species
UACGUAGGGGGCAAGCGUUGUCCGGAAUCAUUGGGCGUAAAGAGCGUGUAGGCGGCUCGAUAAGUCUGCUGUGAAAGUCCAGGGCUCAACCCUGGAAGGCCGGUGGAAACUGUCGGGCUAGAGUCCGGAAGAGGCGAGUGGAGUUCCCGGUGUAGCGGUGAAAUGCGCAGAUAUCGGGAGGAACACCAAUGGCGAAGGCAGCUCGCUGGGACGGUACUGACGCUGAGACGCGAAAGCCAGGGGAGCAAACGGG